rnacentral:rRNA from 1 species
AGAGUUUGAUCUUGGCUCAGAACGAACGCUGGCGGCAUGCCUAACACAUGCAAGUCGAACGAGAUCUUCGGAUCUAGUGGCGCACGGGUGCGUAACACGUGGGAAUCUGCCCUUUGGUUCGGAAUAACUCAGGGAAACUUGAGCUAAUACCGGAUGAUGACGUAAGUCCAAAGAUUUAUCGCCAAAGGAUGAGCCCGCGUAGGAUUAGCUAGUUGGUAGGGUAAAGGCCUACCAAGGCGACGAUCCUUAGCUGGUCUGAGAGGAUGAUCAGCCACACUGGGACUGAGACACGGCCCAGACUCCUACGGGAGGCAGCAGUGGGGAAUAUUGGACAAUGGGGGAAACCCUGAUCCAGCAAUGCCGCGUGAGCGAUGAAGGCCUUAGGGUUGUAAAGCUCUUUUACCCGGGAUGAUAAUGACAGUACCGGGAGAAUAAGCCCCGGCUAACUCCGUGCCAGCAGCCGCGGUAAUACGGAGGGGGCUAGCGUUGUUCGGAAUUACUGGGCGUAAAGCGCACGUAGGCGGCUAUUCAAGUCAGGGGUGAAAGCCCGGGGCUCAACCCCGGAAUUGCCCUUGAAACUAGAUAGCUAGAAUCAUGGAGAGGUGAGUGGAAUUCCGAGUGUAGAGGUGGAAUUCGUAGAUAUUCGGAAGAACACCAGUGGCGAAGGCGGCUCACUGGACAUGCAUUGACGCUGAGGUGCGAAAGC